CGGUGAGUAACACGUGGAUAACCUACCUAUAAGACUGGGAUAACUUCGGGAAACCGGAGCUAAUACCGGAUAAUAUAUUGAACCGCAUGGUUCAAUAGUGAAAGACGGUUUUGCUGUCACUUAUAGAUGGAUCCGCGCCGCAUUAGCUAGUUGGUAAGGUAACGGCUUACCAAGGCAACGAUGCGUAGCCGACCUGAGAGGGUGAUCGGCCACACUGUAACUGAGACACGGUCCAG
rnacentral:rRNA from 1 species